ACUACACUCCUGCGGGAGGCAGCAGUGGGGAAUUUUGGACAAUGGGCGAAAGCCUGAUCCAGCAAUGCCGCGUGAGUGAAGAAGGCCUUCGGGUUGUAAAGCUCUUUUGUCAGGGAAGAAACGGUGAAAGCUAAUAUCUUUUGCUAAUGACGGUACCUGAAGAAUAAGCACCGGCUAACUACGUGCCAGCAGCCGCGGUAAUACGUAGGGUGCAAGCGUUAAUCGGAAUUACUGGGCGUAAAGCGUGCGCAGGCGGUUUUGUAAGUCUGAUGUGAAAUCCCCGGGCUCAACCUGGGAAUUGCAUUGGAGACUGCAAGGCUAGAAUCUGGCAGAGGGGGGUAGAAUUCCACGUGUAGCAGUGAAAUGCGUAGAUAUGUGGAGGAACACCGAUGGCGAAGGCAGCCCCCUGGGUCAAGAUUGACGCUCAUGCACGAAAGCGUGGGGAGCAAACAGGAUUAGAAACCCGAGUAGUCC
rnacentral:rRNA from 1 species